UACGUAGGGUGCAAGCGUUGUCCGGAAUUAUUGGGCGUAAAGAGCUCGUAGGCGGUUUGUCGCGUCGGCUGUGAAAACCUGAGGCUCAACCUCGGGCCUGCAGUCGAUACGGGCAAACUAGAGUUCGGUAGGGGAGACUGGAAUUCCUGGUGUAGCGGUGGAAUGCGCAGAUAUCAGGAGGAACACCAAUGGCGAAGGCAGGUCUCUGGGCCGAAACUGACGCUGAGGAGCGAAAGCGUGGGGAGCAAACAGG
rnacentral:rRNA from 1 species